AUGGCGGGGCUGUAUGAGAAACCGUCGGAGACGUACGCCAAGAAGCGGCCGCGGUACCCCAAGGAGUGGUUCUCCAUGCUCGCCUCCCUCACCGCCGGCCACCACCGCGCCUGGGACGCCGGCUGCGGCACCGGCCAGGCCUCCGUCAGCAUCGCGGAGCACUACGACGGCGUGGUCGCGACGGACGUGAGCGAGGGCCAGCUCCGCCACGCCAUCGCGCACCCCAAGGUGCGGUACCUGCACACGCCGGAGGACCUCCCGGAGGACGACCUCGUCGCCCUGGUCGGCGGCGAGGGCUCCGUGGACCUGGUCAUCGUGGCGACCGCGAUCCACUGGUUCGACGUCCCGCUCUUCUACGCCGUGGUGAACCGCGUCCUCAGGAGGCCAGGCGGCGUCCUCGCCGUGUGGGGGUACAACUACGACAUCCACCCGUUCGGGGACAAGCUGCAGGGGACGCUGUACCCGGCCAUGCGGCCGUACAUGGACCCGAGGACGAGGCUGGCCAUGGAGCGGUACCGCCAGCUGCCGUUCCCGUUCGAGCCCGUCGGGGUGGGCCGCGAGGGCGAGCCGGCCGACGUCGACAUGGAGGCGGAGAUGACGCUGGAGGACCUGGCCGGGUUCGUGAUGACCGGCUCCGUCGCGACCACGGCUAGGGAGAAAGGGGUGGACCUGGAGGCGCUGGUGAAGGGUGUGAUGAAGGAGGUGGAAGAGGGGUGGGGGGAUCGGCCGACGGUGCCCAGGAAGCUUGUGUUCAAGGCCUUCAUGCUGGCUGGGAGGCCCAGGUGA
rnacentral:rRNA from 1 species